GACGAACGCUGGCGGCGUGCCUAAUACAUGCAAGUCGUGCGGACCUUGUUGAAAGCUUGCUUUUAAAAGGUUAGCGGCGGACGGGUGAGUAACACGUGGGCAACCUGCCUGUAAGACUGGGAUAACGCCGGGAAACCGGGGCUAAUACCAGAUCGUUUUUUCCUCCGCAUGGAGGAAAAAGGAAAGGCGGCUUCGGCUGCCACUUACAGAUGGGCCCGCGGCGCAGUAGCUAGUUGGCGGGGUAAUGGCCCACCAAGGCAACGAUGCGUAGCCGACCUGAGAGGGUGAUCGGCCACAUUGGGACUGAGACACGGCCCAAACUCCUACGGGAGGCAGCAGUAGGGAAUCUUCCGAAAUGGACGAAAGUCUGACGGAGCAACGCCGCGGGAGUGAAGAAGGCCUUCGGGUCGUAAAACUCUGUUGCCGGGGAAGAACAAGUGCCGUUCGAACAGGGCGGCGCCUUGACGGUACCCGGACAGAAAGCCACGGCUAACUACGUG
rnacentral:rRNA from 1 species